UGAAGCUGGAAUCGCUAGUAAUCGCAAAUCAGAAUGUUGCGGUGAAUACGUUCCCGGGUCUUGUACACACCGCCCGUCACACCAUGGGAGUCGGAAAUGCCCGAAGUCUGUGACCCAACGAAAGAGGGAGCAGCCGAAGGCAGGUCUGAUAACUGGGGUGAAGUCGUAACAAGGUAGC
rnacentral:rRNA from 1 species